AUUAGUGGCGGACGGGUGAGUAACAUUUAGGAAUCUGCCUAGUAGUGGGGGAUAGCUCGGGGAAACUCGAAUUAAUACCGCAUACGACCUACGGGUGAAAGGGGGCGCAAGCUCUUGCUAUUAGAUGAGCCUAAAUCAGAUUAGCUAGUUGGUGGGGUAAAGGCCCACCAAGGCGACGAUCUGUAACUGGUCUGAGAGGAUGAUCAGUCACACCGGAACUGAGACACGGUCCGGACUCCUACGGGAGGCAGCAGUGGGGAAUAUUGGACAAUGGGGGCAACCCUGAUCCAGCCAUGCCGCGUGUGUGAAGAAGGCCUUUUGGUUGUAAAGCACUUUAAGCAGGGAGGAGAGGCUAAUGGUUAAUACCCAUUAGAUUAGACGUUACCUGCAGAAUAAGCACCGGCUAACUCUGUGCCAGCAGCCGCGGUAAUACAGAGGGUGCGAGCGUUAAUCGGAAUUACUGGGCGUAAAGCGAGUGUAGGUGGCUCAUUAAGUCACAUGUGAAAUCCCCGGGCUUAACCUGGGAACUGCAUGUGAUACUGGUGGUGCUAGAAUAUGUGAGAGGGAAGUAGAAUUCCAGGUGUAGCGGUGAAAUGCGUAGAGAUCUGGAGGAAUACCGAUGGCGAAGGCAGCUUCCUGGCAUAAUAUUGACACUGAGAUUCGAAAGCGUGGGUA
rnacentral:rRNA from 1 species